UACAGAGGGUGCUAGCGUUGUUCGGAAUCAUUGGGCGUAAAGGGCGUGUAGGCGGUUUGUUAAGUCAUGUGUGAAAUCCCUCGGCUCAACCGGGGAACGACGCAUGAAACUGGCAAGCUAGAGUACCAAAGAGGGGGGUGGAAUUCCCGGUGUAGCGGUGAAAUGCGUAGAUAUCAGGAAGAACACCCGUGGCUAAGGCGGCUCUCUAGUACGGUACUGACGCUGAGACGCGAAAGCGUGGGGAGCGAACAGG
rnacentral:rRNA from 1 species